rnacentral:lncRNA from 1 species
CUUGAUGCGUAAGCCUCACAACGGAUAACUGGAAGACCAAGUUACUUGUAAUAUAUCUUUAAAUUCUCGGCGUUCCAUGGUCUGGGAAGCGGCCUUCCUGACGUAUCCCUUAAAUUGUAUGCGCCUCCUUGGAGUUGUCGUAUGACUUCGAAGGGCCCUUCCCAAACUGGUCCUAGCUUGCCCGAGGCAUGACCUGCUGCUUCAGCCCUUCUUAACACAAGGUCUCCGCCUCUAAAUCUCCGCGUCCUUACUUUUUUAUUGAAGUACUUUGCUGUUUUAUCCUGGUAGGAGGCCAUUUUUAAAGCUGCCCGAUCCCAAACUUCUUCCAAAAGGUCGAGAUGUUCAGUUGUGCACCCUACAUCUUUGGGCUCGAGCCUCCUUUGGCUGGGCAACCUGACUUCAACAGGUAUGGUGGCCUCAAUUUCAAAAGCCAACAUGAAGGGGGUUUCCCCUGUAGUAGUUUUGUGUGACGUUCUAUACGUCCAAAGUAUGGAAGGUAACUCGUCAGAGCAGGAACCUCUUGCAUCGUCGAUCCUUGUACGGAGGUCUUACAAUAUAAUCCGAUUGGUCACUUCAACGAGACCAUUACUUUGAGGAUGGAAAAUCGACGUCAAACGGUGAUCAACCCCUAGGUCGGUACAAAAGUUUUUAAAUUGUGCAUUGUCAAACUGCCUGCCAUUAUCAGUUAUGAGGACUUUUGGUAUCCCGAACCUGCAUAUGAUGGAUCUCCAAAUGAAACUUCUUAACUUUGGCUCUGAAAUUUUUGCUAAAGGCUCGGCCUCUACCCACUUAGUGAAAUACUCUACAGCCAUAGCCACAAACUUCAAUUGUCCCCUAUUUAUUGGAAAGGGACCAAGGAUGUCAAUUCCCCACUGCUCAAAUGAGGCUAUGCAACUAAUGCUAUUGAGGUCUUCUACGGGAGGGUGGAUGACAUUGCCAAAUCUUUGGCACUUGUCACACUUCUUGACAUAUUCGUGGGCGUCUUUCUUCAUGGUUGGCCAAUAAUAUCCAUACCUUAUGAACUCGAAGGCUAAAGCCCGUGCUUCUUGAUGGUUCCCACAUACACCUUAAUGAACCUCUUCUAGGGCCUGAGAUGAUUUGGAAGGCCUAAGGCAUCUGAGGUAUGGAAGUGUGAGGCUCCUGUGAAAUAAAAUACCUUCAAUCAUGCAAUACCUCGGAGCUUUGGACCGAAUGCUUCUCGCUGCCUGAGGAUCUGCUGGAAGAUUGCCAUGUUUUAUGAAGCCCACUAUUGGGUCCAUCCAUGAUGGCUUAUUAUCAAUAUCCAUGAUGCCUACGGUUUGAUUGAUGCUUGGCUCGGUUACAAUUCUGACGUGGACUGUCUUGUCAAGCCCAUCUAUUCCCUUGAACACCAAUCUUGACAAGGCAUCUGCCCUACAAUUCUUAGCCCGAGAAAUUUUUACAAUUUCACAACUCUUGAACUUUCUCUGGAGAUCAUGCACUUUCAAGCAGUAUAAGCUCAUCUUCUCAUUCUUUCUAUUGAACGUCCCUUCGAUUUGCUCAACCACCAACUGGGAAUCACUAUAAAUUUUGAUAUUUUCAAGCUCGAGAUUUAUGGCGAGUUCCAUAGCUAUGAUGACGGCCUCAUACUCAGCUUCAUUAUUGGUCGCCUCAAAUUCGAACCUUAGUGCACACUGAAUGUUUAUGAGCAUGUCCGGACUUAUGAUUAUGACCCCUGCGCUAGAGCCCAAGGAGUUCGAUACUCCAUCUACGAAAAUUUUCCACACAGUUAUGCUUGAACUCGAGCUACUAUCUGGCCCCCGAGGCCUUGGAGUGAGUUCUGCAAUGAAGUCAGCUAAGGCCUGAGCUUUGAUAGAUGGACGGGGCUUGAACUCUAUGUCAAAUUCUCCAAGUUCAAUUGCCCACUUUAGUAAUCUUCCUGAGACGUCUAGUUUCUAAAGAAUGUGUUUCAGAGGUUGAUUGGUAAGCACAACAAUAGGAUGUGACUGAAAAUAUUGCCGAAGUUUUCGUGCCGCUACUAUCAGUGCAAGGGCAAGUUGCUCUGCCAAAGUGUAUCUUGUUUCUGCAUCACUUUGCUUACGUAAUAAAUGGGUUGCUAGCCCCUGUUAACCUCUUUCACCAAUGUCUGCUUGAGCUCUUGAAAAGCCUUCUCACACUCCUCAUUCCAUUCAAAGCAAUGGUUACCCGGGCUUUGAAGAAGGGGAAGCACCUGUCUGCUGCUCGG